GACGGAAGGUGCAAGCGUUGCUCGGAAUCACUGGGCGUAAAGGGUGCGUAGGCGGCUUGGUAAGUUGGGUGUGAAAGCCCCGGGCUCAGCCCGGGAAGGGCACUCGAAACUGCCGAGCUGGAGUGCCGGAGGGGAGAGUGGAAUUCCUGGUGUAGCGGUGAAAUGCGUAGAUAUCUGGAGGAAUACCGGUGGCGAAGGCGGCAUCCUGGACCGACAUUGACGCUGAGGAGCGAAAGCUAGGGGAGCAAACGGG
rnacentral:rRNA from 1 species